UCACACCGGCGUCCAAAUCUUGCCUCUGGCAUUUCCCUGUACGUUAGCGAUGACCGCAAGGUAGCAACGUGUGUGACACCUGUGGCGUCAGAGUUCCCUGAUCAGGAUGACGCCUGGGU
ncrna:unclassified sequences Flavobacterium-1 RNA